UGGGGAAUAUUGCACAAUGGGCGCAAGCCUGAUGCAGCCAUGCCGCGUGUGUGAAGAAGGCCUUAGGGUUGUAAAGCACUUUCAGCGAGGAGGAAGGCAUCACACUUAAUACGUGUGGUGAUUGACGUUACUCGCAGAAGAAGCACCGGCUAACUCCGUGCCAGCAGCCGCGGUAAUACGGAGGGUGCAAGCGUUAAUCGGAAUUACUGGGCGUAAAGCGCACGCAGGCGGUUUGUUAAGUCAGAUGUGAAAUCCCCGCGCUUAACGUGGGAACUGCAUUUGAAACUGGCAAGCUAGAGUCUCGUAGAGGGGGGUAGAAUUCCAGGUGUAGCGGUGAAAUGCGUAGAGAUCUGGAGGAAUACCGGUGGCGAAGGCG
rnacentral:rRNA from 1 species